UGUACACAGACACCACAUGGCCAGCACC
rnacentral:piRNA from 1 species